UACGGAGGGGUUAGCGUUGUUCGGAAUGACUGGGCGUAAAGCGCGCGUAGGCGGACCUGCAAGUCGGGGGUGAAAUCCCGGGCUCAACCCUGGAAUGGCCUUCGAGACUGCCGGUCUUGAGUCGAGAGAGGUGGGUGGAAUUCCGAGUGUAGAGGUGAAAUUCGUAGAUAUUCGGAGGAACACCAGUGGCGAAGGCGGCCCACUGGCUCGACACUGACGCUGAGGUGCGAAAGCGUGGGAGCAACAGG
rnacentral:rRNA from 1 species